rnacentral:rRNA from 1 species
GCGAGGGAGAUCCGGGAGCUCAUCAGGGAGUGUGUGCCGUCGGUGGUUUGCAUUGUGGAGACACAACUGUCAAAACAACGAGUGGAGGGUCUGACAGCAACGUUAGGCUUUAAGGGAGGAUUCGCAGUGGCUAGCUCUGGAAGGAGCGGAGGUUUGGCAGUAUUC